rnacentral:rRNA from 1 species
GAUAAACGCUGGCGGCGCACAUAAGACAUGCAAGUCGAACGAACUUAAUACCUUGCUUGCAAGGUAAGCGGUUAGUGGCGGACUGGUGAGUAACACGUAAGAAAUCUGCCUAUCAGAGGGGAAUAACAGUGAGAAAUCAUUGCUAAUACCGCAUAUGCCAUAGGAAUCACAUGAUUCUAGUGGGAAAGGAGCAAUCCGCUGAUAGAUGAGCUUGCGGCUGAUUAGCUAGUUGGUGGGGUAAAGGCCUACCAAGGCAACGAUCAGUAGCCGGACUGAGAGGUUGAACGGCCACAUUGGGACUGAGAUACGGCCCAG